UAUGAUCUUGUAAGUCGUCAUCGGGAAAGAGUAUUUUAAAACACAAGAAUAUGGUCAUUAUCAUGUAUAAUAAGUGAUAAAUAUCAUGUAUGGAGGGUUUCGGAAUAUUUCGAGAUCGAGCAAGUUGAAGAAAAUAAGUUCGACGAAAAUUUGAGAAAUGCUGGACAAAUUUUUAGUCAACUUUGGAGGGGUAUAUCUCUAUGCAUAUUUGGAGUUUUAAGGCGUUUCAAAAGCCUAAAAUGAAGUUCGUCAAGUCUAGUUUAUGAUUCAACAAACCACUCAUCGAUAGGACGUCGGAGUAGAGAAUUAUAGACGCUACAAACUGAACUGUCGCGCAGAAACAGCACUGCUACAGUACGCUACAGCACUGCUACAGUACUGUAGCUACAGUGACGCCGUUUCAGCCCUUAUAAAAAGGGGCAAAACCCCAUUUUUAUCAUCUAAAAACUUCUCAAAUUUUCCAGAAAAUUCAGCAACAAAAAGGGGCCUAAAUCUCACAUAAAAGUGAGGAUUGUGAGUGAAAUUUCAAGCUACGAAGUACUAAUCGAAGUCCGGGCAACGCAUAAUCACGAAUAUAAUUUUGUUUGGAGUUAGAGGAGCAUGGGAACAAUAAGAUGUUGAAGGAUUUGCUACUUUCAUAAAAACAAGGUUUUGGACGAAACGGGAUUUGAGUUUUGGCAAGCGUAAAGGGCAAGAAAGGUACAGACUACAGAUUUGCUGACCCACCUGCCUAGGACACCUAUUCUGCUAUUCUGGAGCGCUCUUUUGUCCAGAGCCUAUACUCUGGUACAGUCUGCUGCUGUUGGAUAUAUGUACGCUAUUCAUGGGUACGACGGGGCCCUGUCCUGUCUUAUGUUUCUGUUAUGUUCUGUAGAGGUCUGUAGACAUACAUGUGGGUUCUGUAUAUGUUUUGGGUUGCUAUGAUUUGUGAUAGCCUUAUCGGCUUCCAUGUGUUAUAUAUGUUCCUCUAUGACACUAGUAAUGUCGACUGACUUUUAUAUUUAUAUAAUCUGCUAGUCUGCUGGUUUGGAUUAUUGGGUACGUUUGGGUGUCCAGCACGGACACUAGUCACGGCCUACGGGGUUGGGUCGUGACAGUUAUAUCAACAUCUUUUGAAC